GACGAACGCUGGCGGCGUGCUUAACACAUGCAAGUCGAACGGAAAGGCCCUGCUUUUGUGGGGUGCUCGAGUGGCGAACGGGUGAGUAACACGUGAGUAACCUGCCCUUGACUUUGGGAUAACUUCAGGAAACUGGGGCUAAUACCGGAUAGGAGCUCCUGCUGCAUGGUGGGGGUUGGAAAGUUUCGGCGGUUGGGGAUGGACUCGCGGCUUAUCAGCUUGUUGGUGGGGUAGUGGCUUACCAAGGCUUUGACGGGUAGCCGGCCUGAGAGGGUGACCGGCCACAUUGGGACUGAGGUACGGCCCAGGCUCCUACGGGAGGCAGCAGUGGGGAAUAUUGCACAAUGAGCGGAAGCCUGGUGCAGCAACGCCGCGUGCGGGAUGACGGCCUUCGGGUUGUAAACCGCUUUCGCCUGUGACGAAGCGUGAGUGACGGUAAUGGGUAAAGAAGCACCGGCUAACUACGUG
rnacentral:rRNA from 1 species